rnacentral:rRNA from 1 species
UACGUAGGGUGCAAGCGUUGUCCGGAAUUAUUGGGCGUAAAGAGCUCGUAGGCGGUCUGUCGCGUCUGCUGUGAAAACUCAGGGCUUAACCCUGAGCUUGCAGUGGGUACGGGCAGACUAGAGUGCGGUAGGGGAGACUGGAAUUCCUGGUGUAGCGGUGAAAUGCGCAGAUAUCAGGAGGAACACCGAUGGCGAAAGGCAGGUCUCUGGGCCAUUAACUGACACU